rnacentral:rRNA from 1 species
GAUGAACGCUGGCGGCGUGCCUAAUACAUGCAAGUCGAGCGAACGGACGAGAAGCUUGCUUCUCUGAUGUUAGCGGCGGACGGGUGAGUAACACGUGGAUAACCUACCUAUAAGACUGGGAUAACUUCGGGAAACCGGAGCUAAUACCGGAUGAUAUUUUGAACCGCAUGGUUCAAAAGUGAAAGACGGUCUUGCUGUCACUAAUAGAUGGAUCCGCGCUGCAUUAGCUAGUUGGUAAGGUAACGGCUUACCAAGGCAACGAUGCAUAGCCGACCUGAGAGGGUGAUCGGCCACACUGGAACUGAGACACGGUCCAGACUCCUACGGGAGGCAGCAGUAGGGAAUCUUCCGCAAUGGGCGAAAGCAUGACGGAGCAACGCCGCGUGAGUGAUGACGGUCUUCGGAUCGUAAAACUCUGUUAUUAGGGAAGAACAUAUGUGUAAGUAACUGUGCACAUCUUGACGGUACCUAAUCAGAAAGCCACGGCUAACUACGUG